rnacentral:rRNA from 1 species
UUUGGAUGGUAGAAGUGGUAGUAGUAGCUAAGUUGGGGAAAUGAUCCAGAGGGACGGAACAAGAGUAAAGCAUAGUCAGGCACCUCCACGUUAUUAGAGGAAGUAAAAGUCGUAACAAGGUCUCCGUUGGUGAACCAGCGGAGGGAUCAUUA